rnacentral:lncRNA from 1 species
UUUUUUUCUUCUUCUUCCCCCUUUUUCUUCUCUUCUUCUUUCUUUCUUUCUCCUGUGCUUCCACGUAGCUGCCUUCUCUGGUUCCUUAUGAACGAAGGCAGGGAGGCUUAAAUGGUGAGAUUUGUAUUUUUGUGCAUUUUGUAGUUUAGUCCUUGUAUUUAUUAUAUUUACGAUUAGGUCCUCAGGGUUUACAUAUAGG